GCAGAGGUGGUUCAGUAGUAGAAUUCUUGCCUUCCAUGUGGGAGACCCAGGUUCAAUUCCCAGCCAAUGCA
rnacentral:tRNA from 1 species